rnacentral:rRNA from 1 species
GAUGAACGCUAGCGGGAGGCUUAACACAUGCAAGUCGAGGGGCAGCACGAGGUAGCAAUACUUUGGUGGCGACCGGCGCACGGGUGAGUAACAGGUAUGCAACUUACCCUGUACAGGGGGAUAACCCGGAGAAAUUCGGACUAAUACCCCAUAAUGUUAUUGAAAGGCAUCUUUUAAUAAUUAAAAUUACGAUGGUACAGGAUGGGCAUGCUCAACAUUAGCUAGUUGGUAAGGUAACGGCUUACCAAGGCUACGAUGUUUAGGGGGCCUGAGAGGGUGAUCCCCCACACUGGUACUGAGACACGGACCAGACUCCUACGGGAGGCAGCAGUGAGGAAUAUUGGUCAAUGGGCGCAAGCCUGAACCAGCCAUCCCGCGUGCAGGAAGACGGCGCUAUGCGUUGUAAACUGCUUUUCUGGAGGAAGAAACGCUUCGACGUGUCGGGGUUUGACAGUACUCAGAAUAG